AUUGGCUUAGUAACGGCGAGUGAAGCGGCAAAAGCUCAAAUUUGAAAUCUGGUACCUUCGGUGCCCGAGUUGUAAUUUGGAGAGGGCAACUUUGGGGCCGUUCCUUGUCUAUGUUCCUUGGAACAGGACGUCAUAGAGGGUGAGAAUCCCGUGUGGCGAGGAGUGCGGUUCUUUGUAAAGUGCCUUCGAAGAGUCGAGUUGUUUGGGAAUGCAGCUCUAAGUGGGUGGUAAAUUCCAUCUAAAGCUAAAUAUUGGCGAGAGACCGAUAGCGAACAAGUACAGUGAUGGAAAGAUGAAAAGAACUUUGAAAAGAGAGUGAAAAAGUACGUGAAAUUGUUGAAAGGGAAGGGCAUUUGAUCAGACAUGGUGUUUUGUGCCCUCUGCUCCUUGUGGGUAGGGGAAUCUCGCAUUUCACUGGGCCAGCAUCAGUUUUGGUGGCAGGAUAAAUCCAUAGGAAUGUAGCUUGCCUCGGUAAGUAUUAUAGCCUGUGGGAAUACUGCCAGCUGGGACUGAGGACUGCGACGUAAGUCAAGGAUGCUGGCAUAAUGGUUAUAUGCCGC
rnacentral:rRNA from 1 species